UACAGAGGUCCCGAGCGUUGUUCGGAUUUACUGGGCGUAAAGGGUGCGUAGGUGGUUGGGUAAGUUUGAGGUGAAAGCUCCGAGCCUAACUCGGAAAAUGCCUUGAAGACUAUCUGACUAGAGGAUUGGAGGGGAGACUGGAAUUCUCGGUGUAGCAGUGAAAUGCGUAGAUAUCGAGGGGAACACCAGUGGCGAAGGCGAGUCUCUGGACAAUUCCUGACACUGAGGCACGAAAGCCAAGGGAGCGAACGGGAUUAGAUAGCCCGGUAGUCUUGGCUGUAAGCAGUGCGCGCUUGCUGUGAGCGGAUUCGACCCCGCUCGUGGCGAAGUUAACGCGAUAAGUGCGCCGCCUGGGAAGUACGAUCGCAAGAUUA
rnacentral:rRNA from 1 species